UUAAUCUUAGGUCCCCAGAAUCUAUUGCAGGUUUUUUUACUGUUCAUCGGUUGAGGUCGAGUGGGCGUGCAGCAUUAGUAGACAGUGGUGCAAAGCAGGUUGGAAGCAGCCAGCCAACUCGGCAGUGAAGCUCCUAGCUCUAUCACCUGGUUGCAUCGCCAAUGGUACGACCAUUAUUCUGCUUAUUGCUGCCUCCCUAAUUUGUGCCUUUCUCCAUAGGGGAUCUUUUGUUCUCUCUAUCCUUUUUAUCCAAAUCACUCUUCAAACUUAACCAAGGGGAUGAUGUUAUAACUUUCCUUCAGAUAUCACCAUUGGACAUAUUGCUGUAUUCCUUAGCAUUAUCGAAUGUUGCUAUAUGAACAGUUCAGUUUAUUAACUGAUAGUGCUACAUCAACCAAGGGGCUAAAUCAUAGACAGAUUUGGAGCAUUACCUCUGAACUUAUCGAUCUGUUCUUAAAGUUGCUAUGUGAACCUGGCUGUAAUUUAACUUAAGGAUGAGCAUGGGGUGAUCCAUGGAUACCCUUGGGAUCAAUGGAUCAGUCCAUGCCCAUCCUAAUUUAGCCCCUAAGCAGUCUAUUGAUCCCUCAACCAUUAAUGACAUAUUUUAUUUAAACAGUAUAAUGGCUUGUUAUAAUUCAUAAAGCAGCCUAAACAUUGCAUCAUCUCUGAUUACUUGUGUAGAAAAAGUUCCCAUGAAAACCAUAUGGAACUCUCUGAGGCAAAGUAAUUUUUGCUACUGGCUCCUCUGAAAAUCUCUUGGCAUCGAUAAUAUAAACCUACAGAAGACAAGAAAUCUGAUAAAUUAAGGAAUGCAUGGAAAUAAUGAUACAAUGUAGCAUGCUUUUUAAGUAGACAGUUUAACUACCUGAGAGCUGUUUGUUCCCUCAUCAUGGACAUAAGUGACUAUCCAUCCAUCAUCUUCAUCGAUUCCAUUUUUCUUUGCAACAAACUGAACUCCAGAGCAGAAUUGUUUCUCUUGCAAAGUGUGGUACUCUACUGAGAUCAAUUGUUUGUUUUCCUAGAGAUGUUUCUGAUACUUUAGUAUGUACUAACAGCGAUAUAUCUGGUACUUUGUACAACACUAAUAGCCACUAACCUUGUCCGGCAUGUUGAAGUGUAGCUUUGCUAUCAUCUUGAACUUAAACAAGCCUGUAUCAUUAUACAGAACUAAUUACAUACAACAUUAGAGAUGAUUCAAAUAACUUAGAACAACAUGAACACAUGCCACGAAGUGUAUGCUAAGAUUGGACAACAAGAACUUUACAAUAUUUCAGAACUCUAUACAGUAAGAAUGUUACCUGUUUUACUAGUGGCUAAUGAGUCAGCAACUUGAGCAUAUCCAUACUUGUUUUGAACACCUACAAAUUUGUCACUAAUGACAGGGAAAUCCAUUGCAACUUUCUCACUGGUAAUGUAACCUUCAUGUACACUACCGUUUUCCAAAUUUAACCUCCACUCAUAUGGGCGAGAAAAGAGAGUGCCAUCUAGUGAAGGAUCAAAAUCUUCUGAAUCCUUAUCUGGUUGGAGAAAUGCCCUUCCAUACCAUUUCGAUUUGUCAACUCUAUGGCGUCCACUAGGGAUAAUAGAACCAAGUAGUCGACAGCCUCUGAUAACAACCUGUUAAUAGGCUUUUUAUAAAGUAGAUAAAAGAGGAAAAAUAUGAACAUCUCUUGAUACAUGUUAUUAGUAUCAUCCAUAGAGAAGGAAUAUUUUCAUAUGGGCAGUUUGGAUUGUGAUGCUUUUUGUGUAUAUUUGUCAUGGUGUAUCUAUAUUUUGUAGUAAUUACCUCAUUUUCAUCCUCAAAGCAGUUAAAUAAAUGGUAACUGCAGUGGUUCUCGACAUCGAACCAUAUGAUGGACUCAGCAUCACCAAAACGAGGCAUUACCCCAAUACGUGAUUUUCCAUUCAUAUCAUUCUCGAUAAAUCUGAAGAUAAAUAUGUACAUGUUAUUAUUAGCAGAAUUUGUAGCGUAUAUACUCUCCAAAAGGUUAUUCCCACGGUAAAGAUGAUACAUGCAGAGUUGACUCACGGCUUUCGUAAGAAUGUCCUGGAUAUGCCGAAUCUGAGAGGAUAGUCCAUUAUAAUAUUGUACCUAUAAUAUGAAAGAAUUGUUUAAGAAAAGGUGAUGUUUAAAAGAAAGCUAUAAUGACUCCUAAACAAAAAUAAAGCAUAUACCUUUUAGUUACUCCAAUGUCAUGAAUGAGUUUCCCUUCCUCAAAUUUGAGAUCAGCCUUAUGAACAAGCCUCUCACCGUCAGCUAAUUCAUGCGAAAUGGGAUCAAUAGUUAAAUGCAGUUGUAAUAGAAGGAAGACAUUUUUUUUCUCUUUCACAAAUUUUGGUGGUGUAUGCUAUCAGUGAGCAACUAAGGUAAUGCCAGAGAUAGAUGAAAACUUGAUAUUAAUGUAUCUAUUUAUUUAUUUUUCACAUUCGUAUUUGGAAUGGUUUAUCAUGAUCAGUUAAUUAAGCUACUAACCUAAAUACUGUUACUUCUAUCUUGAUGUAUUAUUUUAGCUGUUAGAUGGCGGAUUGAUCAACAUUUCCCAACAACUUACGUGAAAUUACUCCAAGCACAUAGUGGGGCUUUUCAGGAUUUGUCCCCAUCAUCACCAGUUCUCCACUCUCAUGAAUUUUCUGUACAAACAAGUCAUAAUGUGAGCAUGUGUUGUUGAAGAGUUACAGUUAUCUAAUAAAAAUCUUUUUUUUUGCGAGCGAUCUAAUAAAAAACUUGAAUAAGUUAGUUCCUAUGCACAUUCUAAAUAGCAUUUAAAAUGCUCCAUUCUUGUGUGCUUAUUGAAUUGUGAACCAUUGGUCUCUAAUAAAAUCAGGUGAGGAAACUCCCCCCCCCCCCACUUCACUUUCCAAAAAAAGUGAACCAUAGUGAGAUCUUGUGGGUUGAAAAUCAUUUUCCUGUGGAUUGGUAAACCAUAGUGUGAACUUGUGCUUAUUAAAUGAAGAUCAGAAUUAAUGAACUCUAAUUUUUCUUUCUUUGCAAGGAGUUUGUAGGAGAAAUAAUUGACAGCUGUCAUUUCGUACCUUUGGGUGACUAGUGAAAGGUUGGUUCCAAGCUCCAUUGAUGUUAUAAGGUCCUAGUGUGUUGAGAUUACUGAUGUUGAUUUCGUACGGAAGAUGGUUCUCCGUGACAGCAAAAGCUCGUCCAGCGUGCUCAAAUAUGUUAGUAUUUGCGCUAUCCUUCACAGCCUUUUCAAAUCUCAACUAUGCCAUAAAACUUCUGUCAGAAGAAGCGAUAUACCAAUUACAUCUACAAAUCUUUCUUCAUGAGAUUAUAAUUUCCCAAUAAAAUGUAAUGGAAUAUCUGACAUAGAAAUUAUUAGUGUUUAUCAUAAUUAACUUUACCAAUUAAAAUUGAAUUUACCCUUUAUGAUUAUUUUCACUGUCAAGUUCUGUAAGACUUACAAUAUUAAGAACAAAUGCAACUAGUGUUGCAUAGGGUUGCCCAUCAGCAGAUGGCACAAAAGCCACUUGAUUCUUUCUCUCCAACUGAAAGGUGUCUGAGUUCACAUACUUGUUUCUGUACGAUAUCUUCCAUUCUCCUAGACUGCUCUUGUCAAAGUACACAGCAUGUAACAUUCCAUGACCUUCGUAAUACAUAUAUGAUGUUGAACCAAAUAUGGAAUCUGCGAUGGUCUGUGUUGGGUUGAGAGGGUUCGGACCUGUUAAUUAAAGUAGCACGAUACAUCAAGACAUGGAUAUUCUCUUUGAGUUUCUGAUGUCGCAGGUCCAAAAAUUAUACAUCAGUUACUUGGAUUGGAUGAGAGCUUCCUAAAACAUUUUACAGGUUUUGUGUUGUGAAUGUGGAACCCAUCGAUCCAACUGUGCGAGGAGUAAUUCAUAUUAUAUUUUACAUGGCUUAAGGCUCACCAUUUCUUAUGUAGACACCCUCUGGAAAAUCUCCAGGGACCUCCCCGUCAAGAUUGUUGAGUAAAACUGCCUCGUCCAUUUCAUUGACAGGUCGAAAAUUCCCCUGUAGAGGACUUGGUCGGUUUUAUUUGUCUAAUUGUAGCGAGUAAUAUGCAUGAGUUCAGUAACAUCAUGAGUUGGGAAAAUUUACUCAUAUAUAGACAUUGCAAAUUGGGUAUUAACUAACAGAAGCACCUUUGGCACUGUCAGUAGAUGGAGAAAGUACUGCAUAAUUACAACAGAGUAACAAAAAUAUGCUGAAAAGAGCCAGUGCAACCUAGCUAUAGCUGUUUCCCCAAAUGCCACAAGACACGAUUAACGAUAACAUUUUUAAGUUGAACUUGAAAGUAGUAUCAAGGAAUGCAGGGAGAAAAGAGUACGUUUUUUUACCUCAUUCAGAGAAGGCUGCUCAGAGAAUCUGUAAGCUCUGUCUAUGAAUCGCUCAAGGAGAUUUGAAGAGACUGACUUCAGAGUUUGCGACAUUUCCUGUAUAUGCUUCUUCAAUCCAGAAGAUGGUGGAACCUAAACCGACGGCACGAAUUAUGUUUUGAUCUAAAUUAAUAGAACGCCACCUUGCAAUACGCAAAGAUCCAAGUUACUAUUGUUCAAGGUAUAUAUUGGAAUCCUGCAAAACUGUAGUAGGAUGCUACGGCCACGUUGUUACUUGUUACUCUGUUACUGCUAUAGAUGCACAGUAUAUGCUAGCUUAUCUACCAGUGCGUUGAAUUGCAUCCUACACUCAUUCAUCUAGUAACAAGGGGUUUCAAAACUGACAGGCUUGAAUUGAAGCUCUUUUUGCCACGCACAGCCCCUGUGCAGUGUGCAGUGCAGGAAUACAAUACAAAGCUGACAAAGACAAGGAUCAGCAACGAACAGGUUACUCUACCUUGAUGGCAUUUGGCGGAUUGAAGGGGAGUGCAUGAUCUGGAGCCCUGCGGCUGUGGAUGCACCUGCUGCUGCUGCUGGUGGUGGUCGGUUUCAGUCCAGCUCUGAACAUGGCGUCGUCGACUCGAUCGUCGUAGCCGUAGCCCGCGCGCAGGGAUUAAAGUUAACAAUGGCUUUGUGAUCGAGGUGUGUCCAUGCCUUGGCGCUGUGGCCUUGGUUAUAUUAGGCCUUGUUUAGUUCUCUCCAAAAUCUAAAAACUUUUCAAGAUUUCUCGUCAUAUCGAAUCUUGUGUUACAUGUAUGGAGCAUUAAAUGUAGAUAAAAAAAUAACUAAUUGUACAGUUUGUUUGUAAUUUACGAGACGAAUUUUUU
rnacentral:lncRNA from 1 species